GAUGAACGCUGGCGGCGUGCCUAAUACAUGCAAGUCGAGCGAACAGAUGAGGAGCUUGCUCCUCUGACGUUAGCGGCGGACGGGUGAGUAACACGUGGAUAACCUACCUAUAAGACUGGGAUAACUUCGGGAAACCGGAGCUAAUACCGGAUAAUAUAUUGAACCGCAUGGUUCAAUAGUGAAAGACGGUUUUGCUGUCACUUAUAGAUGGAUCCGCGCCGCAUUAGCUAGUUGGUAAGGUAACGGCUUACCAAGGCAACGAUGCGUAGCCGACCUGAGAGGGUGAUCGGCCACACUGGAACUGAGACACGGUCCAGACUCCUACGGGAGGCAGCAGUAGGGAAUCUUCCGCAAUGGGCGAAAGCCUGACGGAGCAACGCCGCGUGAGUGAUGAAGGUCUUCGGAUCGUAAAACUCUGUUAUUAGGGAAGAACAAAUGUGUAAGUAACUAUGCACAUCUUGACGGUACCUAAUCAGAAAGCCACGGCAAACUACGUG
rnacentral:rRNA from 1 species